AGAGAGUUGGCAGACGUGUAAUGUGUUUAGCUUGAAACUAAAGUGAUGUGGGUUUAACUCCUACACUCUCUU
rnacentral:tRNA from 1 species